rnacentral:rRNA from 1 species
UGGGGAAUAUUGGACAAUGGGCGCAAGCCUGAUCCAGCCAUGCCGCGUGAGUGAUGAAGGCCCUAGGGUUGUAAAGCUCUUUCACCGGUGAAGAUAAUGACGGUAACCGGAGAAGAAGCCACGGCUAACUACGUGCCAGCAGCCGCGGUAAUACGUAGGUGGCAAGCGUUGUCCGGAUUUAUUGGGCGUAAAGGGGGCGCAGGCUGCUUCUUAAGUCUGAUGUGAAAGCCCACGGCUUAACCGUGGAAGUGCAUUGGAAACUGGGAAGCUUGAGUACAGAAGAGGAAAGUGGAACUCCAUGUGUAGCGGUGGAAUGCGUAGAUAUAUGGAAGAACACCAGUGGCGAAAGCGACUUUCUGGUCUGUCACUGACGCUGAGGCCCGAAAGCGUGGGUAGCAAACAGG